rnacentral:lncRNA from 1 species
UGAGAUAUUGACAAAGAAGGAUAUUAUCUAAAAAUAUUAAAUAUUUUUUAAGUCUGUAGCUGAAAUAAUAGCCAGAGAAAAAAUUAUCUGUAAUAUUAGGGAAAUACCAUGUAUUCAGACAGAGGAGCCCAGAGAACAGAGAAGAUGGGUGGGAUGACCCUAAAGAAAGAUGGGAAGAAAAAGCCCCCACGCUAAUUAAGGAUUCAACAGCUGAGACAGCCCUUGUACGUCCACAGCUGUCAUGUGAAAUGCUUGUCCAAUCCUAGUUGGAAGGAGGACACAGAGCAAGUACCCUCCCACGUGGAGAACUCUAUAGGCUGAUUCCAUCAGGGAAUUCCACGAGGAACACCUCUGUCUGUUAGGCCAUCAGUACGGAAGCCCCAGAGAAUGGCUCUAAAUUGUUGGACCAUCCAUGAGGAUGCUGGUCCUCACAGUCAGGCUUCAGGAGAGAUCGUAUGAUGUCUUUUCCUUGUGCGUCCUCAUAUGCUGUUUUUGUAGUUUGUCUCCAGGUAAAUAAAGAUCCCACAUUUGUGGAUAGAGCCAGGCAAUUGCUUCUUAAUAUGAAGCAUGGAUUCAUAACCUCAUUUGACCAAACACCUGGAAUGUGAGUUUGGAUUGAGAAGACUCUGCUAGUGGAAGGGGCGAUCUUAGCAUGCAGGUCACUUCAAAGAAGGCCAGGCCCAUCUGGGGUAUCUGAACAAAAUCUUUUGGGAUAGCCAGAGAGUAAGAGGAUGGCUGAGGAAGAGAGAAAGUUGGCUCCAGAUGAAAACAUUUGCUGACCUGUUGGCACGAGUCCUGAGAGAAAGGCUGAGAAACACCCAGACCUGCUGUCACCUUCAAUCUACAACGCUCCCAUUGUCGCUGUAUUGCAAGCCUUCUGAACUCCCAAAACGGUCCGAGGAUAGAAUCCAGGGGGUCCAAGAUCCGGGUAGAGAGAAAGUUAAAUCUUUAUUUUCACUACAUUCUAACUGGAAUCAAAUGUCUCCUUCCAUUAUUAAAGAAGGCAACAAAUUAUAAUAGUAUCAGCAGUCCUGCUGACUUUCUCACGGAUGUUUUCA